GGGCUCGUCGCCUAGCUUGGAUUAGGGCGUCAGCCUCCGGAGCUGAAGGUCCGGGGUUCAAAUCCCCGCGAGCCCGCCA
rnacentral:tRNA from 1 species